rnacentral:rRNA from 1 species
CGGGUGAGUAACACGUGGAUAACCUACCUAUAAGACUGGGAUAACUUCGGGAAACCGUAGCUAAUACCGGAUAAUAUUUUGAACCGCAUGGUUCAAAAGUGAAAGACGGUCUUGCUGUCACUUAUAGAUGGAUCCGCGCUGCAUUAGCUAGUUUGUAAGGUAACGGCUUACCAAGGCAACGAUGCAUAGCCACCUGAGAGGGUGAUCGGCCACACUGGAACUGAGACACGGUCCAG